GAUGAACGCUGGCGGCGUGCCUAAUACAUGCAAGUCGAGCGAACGGACGAGAAGCUUGCUUCUCUGAUGUUAGCGGCGGACGGGUGAGUAACACGUGGAUAACCUACCUAUAAGACUGGGAUAACUUCGGGAAACCGGAGCUAAUACCGGAUAAUAUUUUGAACCGCAUGGUUCAAAAGUGAAAGACGGUCUUGCUGUCACUUAUAGAUGGAUCCGCGCUGCAUUAGCUAGUUGGUAAGGCAACGGCUUACCAAGGCAACGAUGCAUAGCCGACCUGAGAGGGUGAUCGGCCACACUGGAACUGAGACACGGUCCAGACUCCUACGGGAGGCAGCAGUAGGGAAUCUUCCGCAAUGGGCGAAAGCCUGACGGAGCAACGCCGCGUGAGUGAUGAAGGUCUUCGGAUCGUAAAACUCUGUUAUUAGGGAAGAACAUAUGUGUAAGUAACUGUGCACAUCUUGACGGUACCUAAUCAGAAAGCCACGGCUAACUACGUGCCAGCAGCCGCGGUAAUACGUAGGUGGCAAGCGUUAUCCGGAAUUAUUGGGCGUAAAGCGCGCGUAGGCGGUUUUUUAAGUCUGAUGUGAAAGCCCACGGCUCAACCGUGGAGGGUCAUUGGAAACUGGAAAACUUGAGUGCAGAAGAGGAAAGUGGAAUUCCAUGUGUAGCGGUGAAAUGCGCAGAGAUAUGGAGGAACACCAGUGGCGAAGGCGACUUUCUGGUCUGUAACUGACGCUGAUGUGCGAAAGCGUGGGGAUCAAACAGGAUUAGAUACCCUGGUAGUCCACGCCGUAAACGAUGAGUGCUAAGUGUUAGGGGGUUUCCGCCCCUUAGUGCUGCAGCUAACGCAUUAAGCACUCCGCCUGGGGAGUACGACCGCAAGGUUGAAACUCAAAGGAAUUGACGGGGACCCGCACAAGCGGUGGAGCAUGUGGUUUAAUUCGAAGCAACGCGAAGAACCUUACCAAAUCUUGACAUCCUUUGACAACUCUAGAGAUAGAGCUUUCCCCUUCGGGGGACAAAGUGACAGGUGGUGCAUGGUUGUCGUCAGCUCGUGUCGUGAGAUGUUGGGUUAAGUCCCGCAACGAGCGCAACCCUUAAGCUUAGUUGCCAUCAUUAAGUUGGGCACUCUAAGUUGACUGCCGGUGACAAACCGGAGGAAGGUGGGGAUGACGUCAAAUCACCAUGCCCCUUAUGAUUUGGGCUACACACGUGCUACAAUGGACAAUACAAAGGGCAGCGAAACCGCGAGGUCAAGCAAAUCCCAUAAAGUUGUUCUCAGUUCGGAUUGUAGUCUGCAACUCGACUACAUGAAGCUGGAAUCGCUAGUAAUCGUAGAUCAGCAUGCUACGGUGAAUACGUUCCCGGGUCU
rnacentral:rRNA from 1 species